UACGUAGGUGGCAAGCGUUGUCCGGAUUUAUUGGGUUUAAAGGGUGCGUAGGCGGUCUAUUAAGUCAGUGGUGAAAUAUGGCAGCUUAACUGUCAGGGUGCCAUUGAUACUGAUGGACUUGAGUGAAGUCGAAGUAGGCGGAAUUGACGGUGUAGCGGUGAAAUGCUUAGAUAUCGUCAAGAACACCGAUAGUGAAGACAGCUUACUAGGCUUAUACUGACGCUGAGGCACGAAAGUGUGGGGAUCAAACAGGAUUAGAAACCCGUGUAGUC
rnacentral:rRNA from 1 species